GACGAACGCUGGCGGCGUGCUUAACACAUGCAAGUCGAACGAAAGGGACCGGCCUUUGUUUGGUGCGCGAGUGGCGAACGGGUGAGUAACGCGUGAGUAACCUGCCCUUGACUUGGGGAUAACUUCAGGAAACUACUGCUAAUACCGCAUAAGAGCUCGUGCUGCAUGCUGGGGGUUGGAAAGGUUCGGCGGUUGGGGAUGGAAUCGCGGCGUGUCAGCUUGUUGGUGGGGUGGUGGCUUACCAAGGCUUUGACGGGUAGCGGGCCCGAUAGGGUGACCGGCAACGUUGGGACUGAGAUACGGCCCAGACUAGUACGGGAGGGAGGAGUGGGGAAUAUUAUACAAUGGGCGGAAGGCUGAUGCAGCAACGCCGCGUGGGGGAUGGGGGGCAUCGCGUUGGAAUGCGCUUUCGCGUGUGACGAGGCGUGAGUGACGGUAAUGGGUAAAGAAGCAACGGCUAACUACGUG
rnacentral:rRNA from 1 species